rnacentral:rRNA from 1 species
AUACGGAGGGUGCAAACGUUGUUCGGAAUCACUGGGCGUAAAGGGCGCGCAGGCGGUUUGAUUAGUCAGAUGUGAAAGCCCACGGCUUAACCGUGGAAGUGCAUUUGAAACGGUCAGACUUGAGUAAUAGAGGGGAAAGUGGAAUUCCCGGUGUAGAGGUGAAAUUCGUAGACAUCGGGAGGAAUACCGGUGGCGAAGGCGACUUUCUGGCUAGAUACUGACGCUGAGGUGCGAAAGCGUGGGGAGCAAACAGGAUUAGAAACCCCGGUAGUCC